ACCGCUUAUAUAUGUAGAAUCACUUCUACCAUGACUGGGAUUAUUUUGCCCUUCUGUUACAGAUGAAAAUAAAAAAAGGUAGGGUAACUAAAUUACUUUAAAAUGACAUUCACUUUAAGUUUAAGAAAUAAUAGGCACCUUUUUUUUUUUUUAGGAGAAGACAAUAGGCUAUACCACCACCUUUAAAGUCCAAGUUCCAUGAUCUUAAUAUAUAAUCACACCUGGAUAUGAGAUAUUUUAAAAAACCACACGUAGACAUAAGCUCAAGGUAGAGCUGUAAUAAACAAAUUCCUUUUAUAAACAAAAUUUUCACUGAAAAGCCACAGUAGAUGGAAAAGAAGAAAGGAUAUUACUUGGUAAAAUCCAGUGACAUCUACAAUAGUUUUACAGCACAUUUAAGCAUUCUAGGGUUUUAUAUCUUCACCUGCCUUCCAUUUCUUAGUUGCUUCUUAUAAAAUUGACAUUGUGUGGGCUGCGGAUUUAACUCAGUGGUUCCAUCACCUGCCUCAAAAGCGCAAGGUCCUGAGUUUGAUCCCCAGUACAAAAAAAAAAACCUGACAUUGUGAAUAUAGGUUUAACCUCAAGUGUAGUCCUGAAUUUGAGUUCCAGAAAAAGCAAAACACUCCAAAUUUCUUCCAAUAUUAUGGCCUUAAUUUUUUAAAAAAGAUUUGUUUAGAAGACGAUGCCCAACUAAAUGGGAGAAAAAGCAGCAAUGUGUAAAUAUAUAUACUAUUCACUGUAUGGAAGUGUUUUUUUGUAUGAUAUCUAGAAUGCACUUGCUCUGUCCAUCUCGAUAUAAAAUGACUUAUACCAACACUACCAAAAGUAAGAGCAUCACAUAAGGGGCACACAAUUACAAUUCUGCUAGUCUUAAAGGCAGUAAAGAGAAAGAAAAUAUAUCAAAUAGUACAUGCACAUCUUACAUAAUUUCCGUGGAAUUUCCAAUGGGUUCUAUGCAAUGUGCCUCUUUUCUAUAACCGUAUUACCAACUACCAAGAAAGGAAAGAUGAGUUUAAAAGUAAUGGUACUGAACUGAAUUGUUUGAAGCCCGUGCCCCACAAAUGGGGAAAAGUGCAUUUAGUUCAGCAGCAGUACAGCACAGCGUGAAGACUGUGUGCUUAGACACACAUAUUCCAGACUGAAGGAUGUGCAAGGCAAGUCAAGAUAUAAAACCAUAGUACACGGCUAAGUAACCUCGAAACGUACACAUAUUGCAGUUUUCAAAGAAAGACAUUCAUUUCAUUAUACAAGGAUAGGGAGGAAAAAUCCUUAAAGUUACCUAUUGUAGUUUAUGAUAUAAUAAAUA
rnacentral:lncRNA from 1 species